CUACGGGUGGCUGCAGUGGGGAAUUUUGGACAAUGGGGGCAACCCUGAUCCAGCCAUGCCGCGUGAGUGAAGAAGGCCUUCGGGUUGUAAAGCUCUUUCAGCCGGGAAGAAAUCGUACAGGCUAAUACCCUGUGCGGAUGACGGUACCGGAAUAAGAAGCACCGGCUAACUACGUGCCAGCAGCCGCGGUAAUACGUAGGGGGCGAGCGUUAAUCGGAAUUACUGGGCGUAAAGCGUGCGCAGGCGGUUUUGUAAGACAGGCGUGAAAUCCCCGGGCUUAACCUGGGAACUGCGUUUGUGACUGCAAGGCUAGAGUACGGCAGAGGGGGGUGGAAUUCCACGUGUAGCAGUGAAAUGCGUAGAGAUGUGGAGGAACACCAAUGGCGAAGGCAGCCCCCUGGGUCGAUACUGACGCUCAUGCACGAAAGCGUGGGUAGCAAACAGGAUUAGAUACCCCCGUAGUC
rnacentral:rRNA from 1 species